GGACCAUUAGCACAGUGGUAGUUGCGCGGGAUUGCAACGUGUUAAGUACACUAAAUAUCCUGAGGUCGCCGGUUCGAUCCUGGCAUGGUCCU
rfam:Tilletiaria anomala TBC 951 K437scaffold_14, whole genome shotgun sequence.